AGAGUUUGAUCCUGGCUCAGGAUGAACGCUAGCUACAGGCUUAACACAUGCAAGUCGAGGGGAAACGACAUCGAAAGCUUGCUUUUGAUGGGCGUCGACCGGCGCACGGGUGAGUAACGCGUAUCCAACCUGCCCAUCACUUGGGGAUAACCUUGCGAAAGUAAGACUAAUACCCAAUGACGUCUCUAGAAGACAUCUGAAAGAGAUUAAAGAUUUAUCGGUGAUGGAUGGGGAUGCGUCUGAUUAGCUUGUUGGCGGGGUAACGGCCACCAAGGCGACGAUCAGUAGGGGUUCUGGGAGGAAGGCCCCCCANAUUGGAACUGAGACACGGUCCAAACUCCUACGGGAGGCA
rnacentral:rRNA from 1 species